rnacentral:rRNA from 1 species
CCUACGGGAGGCAGCAGUGAGGAAUAUUGGACAAUGGGCGGAAGCCUGAUCCAGCCAUGCCGCGUGCAGGAAGACGGCCCUAUGGGUUGUAAACUGCUUUUGUACGGGAAGAAACACCCCCACGUGUGGGGACUUGACGGUACCGUAAGAAUAAGCAUCGGCUAACUCCGUGCCAGCAGCCGCGGUAAU